UAGAUACCCCAGUAUACUUUUUCUUAAAAUUUAAAGCUAGAUUAUUAGUAGUUAGAUUCUUGAAAAUCAAAGAAUUUGGCGGUAUCUUAAUCUUAUUAGAGGAACCUGUUUCAUAAACGAUACACCACGAAGAAUCUUAUUUGCCUUAAGUAGUUUGUAUACCGUCAUUAUUAGAUAAUUUUGGGAAAAUUAAUUAUUGUAAUUAGUAUUUUUAUAAGUAUAUUAGAUCAAGGUGCAGCUUAUAGGUAAGAGAAAAUGGGUUACAUUAAAUUAAUUUAGACGAAAGCAAAACUUUUAACAAGUUGCCCAAGGCGGAUUUAAUUGUAUGCCUAAUUUAAUAUGUUAGGUAGAAAUUGGCGCUAAGAUAUGUACAUAUCGGC
rnacentral:rRNA from 1 species